rnacentral:rRNA from 1 species
AGAGUUUGAUCCUGGCUCAGAGCAAACGCUGGCGGCGUGCCUAAUACAUGCAAGUCGAACGAGGAAGUACCUUCGGGUAUUGUACUAGUGGCGCACGGGUGAGUAACACGUAGGUAAUCUGCCCUUCAGAGGGGAAUAACCAGUCGAAAGAUUGGCUAAUACCGCAUAAGACCACAAUAUCUGCGGAUAUAGGGGUUAAAGGUUUUUCGCUGAAGGAUGAGCCUGCGUCCGAUUAGCUAGUUGGUAGGGUAAUGGCCUACCAAGGCAACUAUCGGUAGCUGGUCUGAGAGGAUGACCAGCCACACUGGAACUGAGACACGGUCCAGACUCCUACGGGAGGCAGCAGUAGGGAAUAUUGCACAAUGGAGGAAACUCUGAUGCAGCGACGCCGCGUGAGUGAUGAAGGCCUUCGGGUUGUAAAGCUCUGUUCUUGGGGACGAAAAAAAUGACGGUACCCAAGGAGAAAGGAUCGGCUAACUUCGUGCCAGCAGCCGCGGUAAGACGAGGGAUCCUAGCGUUGCUCGGAAUUAUUGGGCGUAAAGCGGGUGUAGGUGGCUUCGUAAGUCAGUAGUGAAAGCCCUGGGCUUAACCCGGGAAGUGCUAUUGAUACUGCUUAGCUUGAGUGUGGGAGAGGAUAGUAGAAUUCCUGGUGUAGUGGUGAAAUACGUAGAUAUCAGGAGGAAUCCCGGUGGGGAAGCCGGCUAUCUGGCCUAACACUGACACUCAGACCCGAAAGCGUGGGGAUCAAACAGGAUUAGAUACCCUGGUAGUCCACGCCAUAAACGAUGGAUACUUGUUGUUGGAGGUAUUGACCCCUUCAGUGACGAAGCUAACGCGUUAAGUAUCCCGCCUGGGAAGUACGGUCGCAAGAUUAAAACUCAAAGAAAUUGACGGGGGCCCGCACAAGCGGUGGAGCAUGUGGUUCAAUUCGAUGCAACGCGAAGAACCUUACCUAGAUUUGACAUAUAUUGGAAGACUACCAGAAAUGGUGUCGCCCGCAAGGGCCGAUAUACAGGUGCUGCAUGGCUGUCGUCAGCUCGUGUCGUGAGAUGUUGGGUUAAGUCCCGCAACGAGCGCAACCCUUGCCUUUAGUUGCCAGCAUUUAGUUGGGCACUCUAGAGGGACUGCCGACGUUAAGUCGGAGGAAGGUGGGGAUGACGUCAAGUCCUCAUGGCCUUUAUAUCUAGGGCUACACACGUGCUACAAUGGCCGGUACAGAGGGCAGCCAAGUCGCGAGAUGGAGCUAAUCCCAUAAAGCCGGUCUAAGUUCGGAUCGAAGUCUGCAACUCGACUUCGUGAAGGCGGAAUCGCUAGUAAUCGCGGAUCAGAACGCCGCGGUGAAUACGUUCCCGGGCCUUGUACACACCGCCCGUCACACCAUGAAAGUUGGCUGUACCAGAAGUCGCUGUGUUAACCGCAAGGAGACAGGCGCCCAAGGUAUGGUCGAUGAUUGGGGUGAAGUCGUAACAAGGUAACC